rnacentral:rRNA from 1 species
UCGAGGAUCUUCGGCAAUGGGCGCAAGCCUGACCGAGCGACGCCGCGUGCGGGAUGAAGGCCUUCGGGUUGUAAACCGCUGUCGUGGGGGAGAAAGGCUCGCCGGGUUCACCCGGCGGGUCUGAUCUAUCCCAGGAGGAAGCACGGGCUAAGUUCGUGCCAGCAGCCGCGGUAAGACGAACCGUGCGAACGUUGUUCGGAUUCACUGGGCUUAAAGGGCGCGUAGGCGGCUGACCAAGUCUGGGGUGAAAUCUUUCGGCUUAACCGGAAAAUUGCCUGGGAUACUGGUCGGCUCGAGGGAGGUAGGGGCAGCUGGAACUUCCAGUGGAGCGGUGAAAUGCGUUGAUAUUGGAAGGAACGCCGGUGGCGAAAGCGAGUUGCUGGACCUCUUCUGACGCUGAGGCGCGAAAGCUAGGGGAGCGAACGG